CUUUUUUCUUAUGAAUGACUAAAGCUUUAUCAAGAUAACACAAAGAAAGAGGAUAAGCGAGAGGCAAAGAAUCACCUAUGACAAGAGGCCUUUUUGUCACUCCCAUCUCCAAUAAAAGCAUCAGAUAUCCAAUUUUCCUAUUUAAGAAUGGUUUCCAAACUUAGAUGAUGUAUUGCAGAUUUCAUCAACAAAAAAUGAUGGUCUUCACAGCUUCGGGCUCCCAGGAUGAGAUGAAGCCUACUCAAUAGCAUUCAUGGAAUUUUCUUCCACAAUAAAAGGCUAGAAAGAAGGGUAAUACGUUCAUUAUUUUAACUAGGUUGCCACCUUUGGAGCUUGGGUAAGUUAGUUUACAAAAAAAAAAGUGACAAAAGUGAUGCUAAACAACGACAAAGGUGAUGCGAUAGAUCCGAAAGCAGCAUCAACCACUUGUUUUUGGCGGAAACAUUACUUCUUGCCUGUCGAUGUCGCUGACAUUGUAGCAAACUCACAACUUAGUCCGACCAUUGUGAAAUGUAGUGAGGUCAUAGUCUUUUGUCAAAAGGAACUUUCAAGGAAGUGUAAUGACCGACAUUGGGAAAUCAUAGCUGAGGCCAACUGCAGAGAGAAGUCAACCUGAUUUUCAUGGUAUCUGUUAUUGAAUCCAUGGCUUGCAAACACAUACUUUUGCUCUCUCUACUGACUGAAAAUUGUCAAGAUCUCUCUAUUUUGUUGACGGAUCUCUUGGGCACUGUUUCCCGUAUUUUACAAGAUAAAAAUUAAUGGAGAAUUGUUAAGGUGGAUCGGAUCAUUUAUUUAUUUGUGAAAAAUCAUAAUAAAAUUUUCAUUAAUCUGCUCAAUUUUCAACUGGCACUUGCGCAGAAUUUGACUUUGGCUGUAGCAGAUACCACUUAAUUUAAUAUUUAAAGCAUGUAGAGAUUUUUUUCUAGACUAAAAAAAAAAUAUAAUUCUCAUUAAUCUGCUACAUUUUUCAACAGGUAAUGGCGUGGAAUUGAACUUUUGAAGUAGCAAAAAGUUCUUAAUUUGAAUUUUAAAGCAUGUCGAUUUUUUUUUUCCUAGAUUAAAUGAGAUGCUAAAGCUAAUUUUAUUGCAAUCUCAUUAUCAGCUUGACAUUUAGUUCCCCAUUGAUGCGAUACUGAUUCUUCAAUUGGAGAUUCCUUGGAACUACCACAACCCUUGUUAUGAUGUAUUAAGGGCCCCCUAAAAUUGUUAUGUAUUUUUUAAAGGCAACUAAAAUCAUUAUGUAGUAAACAUCAUUAAUGAAAAAAGUGAUAUCUGUCAAUGAAAUGCGACAAUUGGUGUUUCCUCUGCAUGUUUCCAAUAUAUUGCUUGAUUCUCCUUUAUCUUGUCUGUCAUUUGGAGAUUGAUGUUUGAUCUACAGGGAGUAAGAGGCUGACGCGUACCAAUGUGUCCUGGGAGCAAGAAAUUGGUGAUCCUGGGGAUUCCUUGGGAUGUGGAUAGUGAAGGACUAAGGCAGUACAUGAGUCAAUUUGGUGAAUUGGCCGAUGUGAUGGUGAUGAAAGACCGUGCAUCGGGACGAUCCCGCGGUUUUGGCUAUGUAACGUUUGCAUCUUCUGAAGACGCAGAGAAAGCGCUUGCAGCACAACAUACUUUCAAAGGGAGGACACUUGAGGUUAAAGUAGCAACUCCAAGGGAGGAAAUGGUCCCAACAUCCAAGAAGACUACUCGUAUUUUUGUUGCUAGAAUACCUUUGAGUGUGACUGACGAAGAUUUUCACAGCUAUUUCAUGAAGUACGGCCCAGUAAUUGAUGCUUACAUGCCAAAGGAACCAGUAUCCAAGCAACAUCGAGGAAUUGGCUUUGUCACAUAUGAAAACUCAGACUCUGUAGAUAAGCUUAUGUCUGAGACCCAUGAGGUUGGAGGUUCCAAAGUUGCUGUUGAUCGAGCUACUCCGAAGGAGGAUUCCAGGGCUUAUAGGGUUUCAAGCAACUUUGUGAAGAUGCCACGCAUGCACACCAUAUCUCAUUCUUCUGGCUACAGCAAUAUUGAUAACUAUUCCAGAAUAGCUGGAAUUGAACCUCAAGCAAACAAGCUGUUGUCAUCUGCUGUUUGCUCAGCCCAAGAGGUUGGCAGUGUAGGGUGUGCAGUGGCCACAGGGGAUGCAGGUUCUGGUAAUGGACAAGCUGUUUUAGCGGCUCCUGCAAGGGUAGAAAAAAAGAUGUUUAUUGGUCGUGUUCCUGUGGAAGCGACGACCGAAGACCUCCAUGCAUAUUUCAGUCAGUUCGGUUGGGUUCUUGACGUUUACCUGCCAAAGGAUGCAAAGAAAGCAUCACACAGAGGAUUUGGCUUUGUCACAUUUGCAGAUGAAGCAUCAGCUGCACGUGUUGCUAGACUUAGACAUUAUCUUUUUGGUCGUGAGAUAGCUGUUGAAUCUGCUUCACCUACAGAUCGUAUGCAUGGUGGAGGGCAGAUCCCUCCAAAUGCAUUUUUAUCUCCAGGAGUUGAAAGAGACCUACCUUCUGAGGUUCCUGGUGUUGCAACCGAAAAUUGUAAUCUAGCCACUUCAUCGACCACUUCAACUGGUAAAUGGGGAAAGAAGCUUUUCAUUGGCCGGAUUCCAAUUGAAGCAACUGCCGUUGACUUGCGGGUGCAUUUUAGUCAGUUUGGCCAUGUAAUGGAUGUAUAUCUUCCCAAGGAUGGCACAAAAACAUCUCAUAGAGGGUUUGGUUUUAUCACGUUCGCAGAUGAAAUUUCAGCUGAAUUUGCUUCUCAGAAAAUCCAUAAGAUUCUAGGCCAAAAGAUUGUAUUGGACCGAGCAGCUCCCCUAGAAAAUGAGGGAUCAAAUGCCGUUCCCUCUUCAUCUGUCACCAGUGUCACCCCUUCAGAUGGAUCUAUUCCAACAUUACAAAAUCUAUCAAGUCAACAGGCUUAUGAUGCCAAGCCUUAAUCCAUUGAUUGUGGUUGCUGCCGCAGUUGAACAAAUGGUGUCAUACAAAUUGUCAAAAUAACAACAACAAAAAGAAGUUUCAAAGAAAUCAGAUGCAUGGACGUAAUGGCUGUCUUCCCCUUUAGCUUAAAAUGGGUAGAGCACGUAGUCAUUCGGCUCCAUCCGGCAUCAAAGGUGUGGAUCUAUGCAAUUGGGCUAAUAGAGCUAUUGGAGAAGAAUGGGGCUGCUGAGAUUUUCGAUCUAGAGAUCUCCAUGCAGAGAAGUGCCUCAGAAGGGACUUAAGUUGCCAUAAAUCAUUCUACAUUGUUGCAACAAGUUGCCUGAGAACUACCCAGACAUGGAGGAGGUGUUGAAGGACAUGGCCAAUAAAAAAGAUCUCCAACUCAGGGGAGGACGAGAACUCAUCUGAUUGGUUAUUGAAGUAGUGUUUGAUUUUGACGAGUGGUUCAGUGUAGUUGGUGAUGAGAGAUGUUGAAAGUCUUGCUUAAAAGGUUGUACACUCUCGAGGUGCCACGGUAAACCGGCCACUCAGAUCAGUGUCACGGUACAGACCCUAUUAGAAGUGAGUAUGGGAGUUUCAUGGAUCUCAAUUGUGGCAUUGUCUUUGUAAAAUGCAGUUCUUCCCAGAAUCCAAUGCAAAAAAGGGGAGGCCUUGGAGAAUGUUAUGGAAGCUUUGCCUUGCCUUCUUUCAAGAAACAUGAGGUUGAUUGCUCUUGCUCUUGGGUAAUUUUAUUUGGUUCCAGUGAAAGUUUCUACUCUCUUUGGGGGAGUUUUUAUAUAGUUGAAAUGAGCUUUGCUCUCAUUUCAUGUUAAACUGCCAACCUGACGAAUGUAACAUUACAGUUUAUCAAGUUUUAUGAGGUGUGAUGACAUUUUUUUAUUCAAAAGUUACGUGAAAAAACUUCUAAAUGGGGGCACUUCCCCAUCAACAA